GAUGAACGCUGGCGGCGUGCCUAAUUCAUGCAAGUCGAGCGAACAGACGGGGAGCUUGCUCCUCUGACGUUAGCGGCGGACGGGUGAGUAACACGUGGAUAACCUACCUAUAAGACUGGGAUAACUUCGGGAAACCGGAGCUAAUACCGGAUAAUAUAUUGAACCGCAUGGUUCAAUAGUGAAAGACGGUUUUGCUGUCACUUAUAGAUGGAUCCGCGCCGCAUUAGCUAGUUGGUAAGGUAACGGCUUACCAAGGCAACGAUGCGUAGCCGACCUGAGAGGGUGAUCGGCCACACUGGAACUGAGACACGGUCCAGACUCCUACGGGAGGCAGCAGUAGGGAAUCUUCCGCAAUGGGCGAAAGCUUGACGGAGCAACGCCGCGUGAGUGAUGAAGGUCUUCGGAUCGUAAAACUCUGUUAUUAGGGAAGAACAAAUGUGUAAGUAACUAUGCACGUCUUGACGGUACCUAAUCAGAAAGCCACGGCUAACUACGUG
rnacentral:rRNA from 1 species